rnacentral:lncRNA from 1 species
GGGAUUUUUUUCUGUGUGUAAUUUUGCAUUGUAAGUAGGAGAAGCCACAAUAGUUUAAAGCAAAAUUAAAAAUAUACCACUAUAGUCUUGCGUUUAAUAACGUGAAUUGUUAUUCUUAUAGCUGUUUAUAGAAGUGUACUAAAAAAAAUUUACUUAAACAUAUGAAUUUAAGACUUUCACUUUAUUCAGCAAAUUGGUUUAUUUACACAAUGGGGAACGCUGGUUGAAUGCUGUCAAUGUAAUAAAAACAAAUCUAACAGAGACAAUACUGAACUCUCCCUAUGUAUUCAUAGCAGAAAUGACAAACUAUUUCCUUACCUGUAUCAGGAACAUCAAGCGCAACAAUGGGACAGUAUCAUAGGACACUGAUUUAACAAUAAGCCACAGAGGUCCAGUAAUACCAUGGCAAUUUACUCAUGUAUUCACUGACUUUUAAAAAAAAAUAAUUAAGAGUCAGCAAUACCCAGUAUAAAGUUCUGUCAAUUAUCAGAGUCAAACUCUGAUGAGUAGGUCCGUAAAACCUUAUCAGAUCAUCCACAAUUCAUAGUGUCCUGAUGUGCUUCAGACCACUAAUACAGAAACAAAUGUAUGAGAACUGAUUAUUCUCUAAAAGGCAACAAUGAUCUGAUAAGGGUUUAACUUAAUGGAGUUAAAAAAAAAUUAAGAAUUGCAGAGCACAGCCCCUAUUAGAACAAGCUAACUUUCCAGAUUUUCAAAAAAAAUAAAAUAAAAAGACAAAAAAAAUUGAGAAAAAAAAACAAACACUUCAACAUGAAGCUACCAUACAAAGUUUUUUGUUGGUGGUGGGUUUUUUUGUUUUGUUGUUUUUGUUUUUUUUAAUGUUUUUUUCCUUCUUGCAAGAGUUCAGAGUUGCAUUUUAAUCUUGGCUCUUUAGUGAGAAGGACAGUUUUGGCCUAGACUUUCCUUUGCCCAAGAUAAUUUUUUGCUCUUCCUUUUGCUGACGUUGCCUCUCUUGUUCUAGUUUCAUCCUCUCCUCAUGAAUCUUUCUUUGUUCUUCAACAAUUUUCAAUUGUUCUUCAGCCAGUUUAGCUUGUGCUUCUGCAAUUUUUCGAUUAUUCUCUUCUAGUAUUCGCUCUAGUUCCUCACGCUUUGCACGCUCUUCUUCCUCUCUGGCUUUUUGUGCUGCAAGUUCAGCUUGUCGCUGUCGCUCGAGUUCUUCGAGCAACUGUUUUUCCAUGAUGCGCUUAGCCUCCUCCACCCUGCGGAGAACCUCUCGCUCAAUCUCAUCCUUCCUUUUCUCCAACUCUUCUUCCACUCUUUUAGCCACAAGCUCUUCCACUCUUCGAGCAGUUUCUUCCUCUAUGAGUUUCUCUUCGAUUUCUUGUUGACGGAUUUUCCGCUGCCGCUCGAACUCUGCUUUUUUCUCCUCCUCCUCCCGCUUCUGCUUCUCGUCCAGGCUGCUGCGCUUGCUCACCGUGCGCCCGAAGAUGUCGAUGCGGUCCGGCGGGGACGAGGCGCGCUCGCGUUCGCGUUCCCGAUCGCGGCGGGAGGAGGGGGCCGUGUUGGAGCGGGAGCGGGAGCGGGACUCGCGGCGCCGGUUGCGUUUGCUCUCCCGGGACUUGGACCGCUUCCGCGCCCGCUCUUUCUCCCGAGAGCGGGACCGCGAGCGGCUCCGAUUCUUCUUGUUGUGCUUUGAGCUCUUGGUGUGCUUGGAGCGGGACGAGCUCCGGCUGCGGGACCGACCCAUCCCGGCCGAGGAGAGGAAAGGCCGCACCGGAGACCGCCCGGCUACCUCCGCCCCCUUCUACUAGCGGCGCCCGAGGGAGGAGCGAGAAGACCCCGCACGCAUCAGCACCACCCGGCCGUGCGCCGCGUCCUCACUUUCUCCACCGCUUCACGCGACGAAGAGAACGAGCAGGCCCCGAGAGCGGCAGCAGGUCCGGACGCAGACAAGAUGGCGGCCCUAACGGAGCGGUGACUCUCUGCUUCCGCCCCACAGUGCACCGCGCGGCGCUCCAGCCGUUUGCUCCCCCUCCCCUUCGCCCCCGCCUUCGGCUGUUUUUCCGGAGGUGUACGAAGCCGCUCGGGAAUGCUCGGUAACCAAUGGCAGGCGUUGCUCAGAGGAGGAAACGCUGUCAAGCGGCGCUUUUUCUUGCGCAAGCGCAGUUGGCUGCCGUUGAGACAGUGUUGAGGAUAGGGUUGGCUCUUGUUUCUAGUAGUGUUGCUAGCUGCUUUAUAGAUUCCUUUUGUUAGGCCGGCAGCACUGGAGGGGCUGGGGGGAGAUGAAAGGAGCUUUCGGCUUUGGAAGGCCCUUACGGCUCGGGAGGCUGCCCUGGGUACUGGCUGCAAAACGCGGAGUGUGCUGAGCCAUACCUGUGUGUACUGAGCCUUCUGCAGGCGUUGUCCCAGUGCUUCCCGCAUGCCUGUAAUGCUGCCCGCGGGCGGGUUUCCUUUCCGUGGCCUUCCCAGGAGCUGGGGCCUACCUUAGCAUCCCCCUCAUCCAGUGGUGAGCUGCUUUGUGGCUGAGGAGUGGCUGUGUCCUCGUUAACCGAGGGUUUCAUGGAGCUUUGAUUUUUAAUUAAUGUUUUACUUGUAUUACUCCAACGUAGGAGUCAGAUGUCACGUCUCACUGCAUGUUCUGAAAGUUGUAAAAGCCAUUUAAGUAUCUUUUCCCCCUCUCAAUGAAGUUGUAAAAGUUAGUUUUUCUGAGUCCUCACUUGAAUUAUGUGGUUUCUGGAGUCUAUUUCUUUGUAGCUAAUCGCUACUAUGUUACCAGUGGAUGUCUGUUUUGAUGUAAGUUCACAGUAUUUCAGCUGUAGAUAUUGCUGUCUUUUGUUAACUGUGGGUCUGUUGGUAAGAGCAGGUUCAAGUCAGAUGGAAAGCGUGAACUGGCAACUCAGGCAGCAUGGCUGUGUGAGGUUCCUUAUCCUAGUUCUGUCAGGUAAUUGUUACUUUUUCCACCAUAACAAAGCUUGCAACUGAUGCUGUCCUUAGUUUCUGGUGAACUAGCGUGGGCCAUAGGUAGAUCAACCUCUUAAAUUUUGGAGGAAGCCAGCUGCUUUGUGUCUUUCAGAAUUAAGACUUUUUCCUAGUAGACCUAUUGUUUUUUGUUUGUUUGUUUUGGAACUUUAAAAGCGUACUUUGCAGAACAUUGUUCAUUGGGUAGAAUCAAAAGCAUCUUUUUAUCUCAUUCUCUUGUCUCACUGGGGUGUCUUAGGUAACAGCAAGUCAGCAGCAUGCCUAGGCAGCCAGGAAGGCCAACCGUAUCCUGGGCUACAUCAAGUGUGUCACUGCUUGCCAAUUGAGAGAGGGGAUUGUCCCAAUCUACUGCACUCACCUCGAGUACUGUAUGCAGUUCUGGGUUCCACAGUGUACAAAGGUAGCUACAGUGAUGGUGAAGGGUCUAGAGGGAAGAUGUAUGAGGAGUGGCUGAUGUUCCUUAUUUUAUUCAGCUCAGAGCAGAGGAACUCGGGGAGACCUCAUGGCAGCCUACAGCUCCUCACAAAGGGGGGCAGAGAGACAGUGCUAAUCUCUGCUCUCUGGUGACAGUGAUAGAACCUGAGGAAAUGGCAUGGAGCUGUCAGGGGGGAGUCAGGUUGAAUGUCAGGAAAAGGUUCUGCACUAGAAAGUGGUGGGCAUGGAACAGGCUGCCCAGGGCAGUGAUCACAGCCCCAAGCUGCUAGAGUGCUGGGGUGCUUGAACAAUGCUCUCAGUCACAUGGUCUGAUUUGGGGAUUUUGUUUUUCAUUUUUGUUUUGGAGUGGUUCUAUGUGGAGCCAGGAGUUGGAAUCAAUGAUCCUUAUGGAUCCAACUGGGGAUAUUCUAUGGUUAUGUGGUUCUAAUUUUGGAAUUCAGGCUUUCUGUAAUUAGUACAGAAAAGAAAUAUCAUUGAAACAUCUUUCUGAUAUGCCAGUGGGCAAAUUUGCAACAGAGUAACGGAUGGACACCAUGAAAGCUGAAUGGCACCAUAGGGAUUUAUAGGGCCGUGGACCUUGAGAGCGUUUGCACACCUCUAGCCCUGGCAUCAUCCAUGCAACAGGUUACUAGGGGACUUGACGAUCGGAUGUUUUAAAUAAGGACCAGGCUUGUGAGUUUUCAACUACCAUAAUUACUAUAACAACUUGGCUGCGCUCAAGUGCUGGAACUUUUGAAUUGAUGUGAAGCAAUUGAUUCUGGUUAGAAAUUCUGUUAUAAUUUUAUUAGGUCUAUGCUGAGUGCUGGAUGUACCAGACCAUACUUGAAAUACUGAAAACAUUGAGAAGCCACUAAUUGUUUUACCAUUAGUUAUGAAUUAAUUACAAAUUAAAUGUAAAAAUAAUUGCCAUGAGCUUAGUUUUUGUUUUGUUUUGUUUUCCCUUGGUAUGUCUCUAUUAUAAGUGUCUUUGCUUUGCUUCUUAUUUAUUUGAAGAAAUACAGAUUUGAACUCCAGAAUUCUACUCCUAUUUAACAGCAUUAUUUUUUUUUUCUUUUUCAGAUGUAUAAAAUAAAUACAAUAUCUUAUCUGAACAAUUCAUGAUACGUUUGUUUGGAGUUCAGAAAUAUAUGAUAUGGUAUAAUUAAAUAAUUUCCCAAAUCAUUGUUACAUUUUUCCAUCUCAGUGUUCAUUUAAACUUCUGAAUUAGCAAGAACACAAGUAUUUAAGUACCUAUACUAAAAUAGUCAUUAGUGCUUUUACUUUCAUAUUUAUGCAGACUAGUACUUCCAGAAAAAAAAAAAAAAAAAGAAGUCCAAGAAGUAUGCAGUGCUAUCAGAGAGCACCGGUUGUGCUGCUGUCAGGGAGACUAUUUCUAUCUGUGAUUUCUGUUUUACUUUGAAGCUUGGUAGUUUUUUAUCCUGUCAUUUUCCAUAGCUUAAUAAUAAUAAAGUAUUACUACUUGGUCUUUUUUUCCCAGGUGUAGCUACAGUGGAUAUGAAAUUACAGUACAAUUGGAAAGUUUUCUUAUGAAUUCUAAACUAAAGAACUUGUUUUCAUCAAGUAUUCUAGUUUGUUGUAUUAAGUUAAUUUAGGAGUAAGAUGAUCAUUUCCUUAGUCAAUUCCCUUUCAAAGCUUUCAAUUUUUUUAGUAAAAUCUCGUAGUUUUAUUCUGAAUUAAAUUGUUAGAAUUCUUGAGGAAUUUUUUUUUUUUUUUUUUUGUGGUCACUUGUAAACCACAAUGUUAUUCAUGGUUUUCUAGCCAUGCUCAAUUUCUAUGAACUCGUGUUUUACCAUUAUUUUUCUGCAUUUUAAUAUAUUCAGUAGAUUAAAGAACAUAAUUUGCUUCUUAAAGCAGUUGCCUUAGAGUUGGAAAGCACCUUAUUUGGUAUCCAAAUGUUGGCAUAAUUAAAGCACCUCACCCUUCUGUAACGUGGCUACUAUCAUCAUAUGAAAUCUCUCAACCUGUAGGCAUUUGGCAGUAGCCCUGUGGAGAGAUUCUGUAUUAUGAUAAUCUGUAGAUCAUAUCUGCUCUCAUGCCAUCACUUCUGUAGUAGCUGGGUCAAAGGGAAUCUUGGGAGAUUGAAGGUGGAUUACUUUGGCUUGUGUUAAGAGUGUAGCACAGCUGGGUAUAAGAUCUUUGUAAUAGGUCUGAAGUGGAAGGAUUCUGAAGGGUAAGUAGAGAUAGAAAGCAGCAGAACAGGAUAUAGUAGGAUAAAGCAUUUGGUAUAUAAUUUACUAUGACCUGGAGUAGCCUUGCUUCAGUAAAAGGACAGAAUAAGCACAGAAGAGCUAAGAUUUUGUUGUUUUGUUUUUUUUUGGGGGGGGGGGGAGGAGGGGAACAACUGUUGAAAUGUCAAAUCUUUCAAAGUAGCUAUUUCAAUGUGGGUUUGUUACAAGGUCAGAAACUGUAUAUGCAGGGUUUAUUUUUUAAGUAUGAGUCAGCGCUGAGAUUCCUGCCACACUGUGGAUUAGAAAAAUUAUGCAGAUGUAGAGGUUGUAUUGCUUAAUUGCUUUUUUCACACCUGAUGCCAAAGUGGCUUAUUUUACUGAAGCAUUUUUUGUCAGCAGCUUUGGUGGGGUUUUUUUUGUAACACUAUGGGGUUUGGAGCUGCUAAACUACAGAGGUGGGGAGAUGAAGCAUCUGGGAGACUCACAGAACAUGAGGAAGGCACUGCAGGAGCAUGGAACAGUUGGCAGAAAGGGAAGUAAUCUUUUCUAAGACUUGAGAGAACCACAUUAAAACUGUGGUUGCAAAGGACUCCUUUGAAAAGGGAAAAAUCUUUAACUGAGAGAAAGACGAAGUGUUUUACAAUGGGAAAUUAAAUAAAUGGAAAUGACUUUAACAUUGUAUCUAUACAAAAAGGCUGUGUAGAUAAUUAAUGUAAAUAUUAGCUAUUAGCUGAACAUUCAGAAAAGAGGGAUAUUUUAAAUGAUGAUCAUACGUUUGGAAAAUGAACAAAAUGUGCAGGACACUUGAAAGUUUUUCGUAAUUUGGACAUGGAAAAAUGGAACGGCUGGAAUAAUCAAGACUAAUGUGUGGAUAUAUGACAAGCAAAUUAACAGAAAACUAUACCUACCUUCAUUUCCAACUAGAUUAAAUUUUAGGAAAUAAAUGAAAUUACCAAAUCAUGAUUGACAUGGUAAUUUUACUGUAAAUGUCCAAAGACAGUCCACUUAGCGCUCUUUGAUAAUAUUUGAGCUCUCUCUCUCUAUAGAAGAAAGGAAGAAGAAUGUUUACUUGCUUGCUUUGCUCACAUUGCCUAGUCCAUUUACCUACUGAAUAAAAGCUCUUGAACGCUAUUAGAAGUGGUGAACAUUAGCUUUGAUCACAACUUGAGGCACUGAUCAGCAGGGUAUGCAUCCAUAUUCAGUCUUUUUCACAGUGAAUAUUUUUUUAAAAUCAAUGUUACAUAGAAUAUGCAGAUUUAAUAUCACACAUAAGUAUUUAUAUCUGAACCUAAGGCAUGGUUCACUGAAGACUGGCAGUAGUAAAAAUCUAACCAGCCUUGUUCAGCAGCUGCAUAAUUGUGGAGAUACUUCAGCUCCAUAGGCAUAUUCUGACUUAUCUGAAAGAUUUCAUAGCAUUUGCAGCAUUUGGCAUGUGUAACUAGAAACAUAUGCCAACCAGAAAAGAGUCAGGGUGUCAUCCAAGUUUCAUGAGGGACUGAUCCAAUACGAGUAUGUGGAUUUUAUUUAUUUAUUUAUUUUUUAGUUAGAAUAGCAACAGACACUGUUACUCAAAAAUGAGUUGCUCAUGAUCAGGAGGUUAGCAUAGUGGUUAGACUAGUUGAGCAAGUGUGAAAACUGGAUUCAGGUGUGUCCUUAUUCAUAUCUACAUCACUCCCCCUCACCCCCCUUCUCCCCCACCCCUCCCCCAUGACAGUAUGUUAAUCGCCAGGUCACCAUCUAGGCUGGAGGAAAGUGAGAAGAGGGUUAGGAGCAAAGUCCUUUCUGCUUAGCUAAAGACAAGUGAAUUUCACAAAAUACACAGGUUCAGUGGCAGGAGGCAGCAUGGCUGCAACCUAAGGAAUGUGGUACUCUGGAAGGGGGAAGUGAGUCACCAUGGGUUUUGGUCCCUAUUCACAAGGCUGAAUUUUAUUAAAUAGGCAUGGGGGGGGGGGGGAACAGACAAUCUUGAGAGCCGGAACAUAAAACUUGGUGGGUCCUGUAACCAUUCGGAUAUUACAUAACUACUUCCACGGCAGCUGCGUUUUAAAGUGGGUGAGCCAUGCUCAGUUCUUCAAAGGCUAUUGUAGGCACUCCCUCAGGAGAGGGCUCCCAGGUUUUGGCUUCUGAAUAGAUGAAGGUGCCACCCUUGUGGUGCUGACUCAUGCACCUUAACACAGACAGCCAUGCCUCCGCAUAGAGCAUUUCCGCUCUUGGCUUUGUGACUCCUGAUUAGCGUGCAUAUUUCAUGAGUAACUAAUUCUCGUUUAAUUUUCAAAAACUGCUUGGUUGAAGUACUGGCAAUGGAAAUUUUGUUUGUAACCAGAUUUUUUUCCUGUUUCUUCCCCUCAUUUUAUUAAGAUGCUAAUCUAUCUGGCAGCACUACUUUUCUGUGUGAAUAUGAAAAUGCCUGGAAGAGAUUACUUUCUUGGGGUAACAUAGUCAAAAAGCAGCAUGCAUAUCACAAAAACAGGGAAAAACAUCCUGUCUGCACUUAAAAAAUAAAGUGAAGGAUACAGGAAUUAACAGGAAUUGACCUGGAAGCAGCUUUGUCUGUUCAGCUCUCAGCCACGUUGUUAAAAUUUUAUCCGAAGGGGUUAGAUAAAUCUUUUUCUUUUAUUUUCUUACCGUCAUGCAAACUGAUGAACUUUAAAAUGGCAGAAAAUUCUAGUUAGUACUUUCCAAAUAUGUUCUUAAAAGAAGUAUAAGAAAAACAUGAUGUAUUAUAUGGGCAAGCCAGUUUAGCAGGAAGUCUUCUGAGUGCAAGAUUCUGCCUCCUGUAUUCAGAGAAGUAAUGCUUCAUUUUGCAAGUUGAAUCAUUAAUUUAUUUGUCUGGCUAAGUAGGCUAAAUGUUGAAUGAAUAAAGCUUUGGAGCAGGACGCAAAUUUAUUUUACUGUGUAGGUUUAAUAGAAGCUUUUCUUUUUUCUUUCUUCUCUGUGCAUAUCUCAUUGAAAUAGCAAGAUUUAGAGACUGUACUUGGAGAAGUCUCUCCAAACGAUCUGAAGAGAAACAAAGUACUAGAGAGAAAAGAGGCAUCUUGAAGUCUGCCUUCUUGGAAUUUUCUGUAGGAUGACUCUUCCUUCUACUCUUUUCGGAAGACAUAAAAAAAUGGUAUAUCAUAUUGUCUGGUUCCAUUGUUGUUGUUUAUGUCCUUUAUUCUGAAAUAGUAUCAGUAGUACUUGUCUUCAGAUUGAUAUUUUUUUUAAACCACAAUGAUAGUGACUGUGCAGGUCAAACUGAAUUGUAUCUUGAUGAGGGAUCUGACUAACUUUGAUGUUGUCCCAGCUGACAAUCUGCCAUAGAGCCAUAAUCAUGGCUCUUCAGUAAUACUGGACAGGGUUGUCUUGAGUGCUAGCAAAGCUCAGAGCACUGGGCAUCCUCAGCAUGCAUAGCAUCUAGCCCACUGCUUACGUAGUGUUGAGUUACAUCUCACCUAUAUACUCUGUAGAAUCUGUGAACCCGCCAUCAGACUGUGCACUGAUUUCAAAAUGCGCUUGGGGCCUGUUUCUUCUGGAUCUGCAUCUGAGAUGGCAAUGUGUUAAAGCUGGACAAGUUUCCAAGUGCAUGAAGUAUCCUAAAGCUUAUAUGUGCCUCUCUAAUGUUGUAGUUGAUGUCACUGUGUAUGUGGUUACUGUUCACUGAUAGUGUUUUGUUUUGGCUUCCGAGUUUGAUAAAGUUGUUUUCAAAUUUCUAUCACAGAUGCUAAUUACAGCUGUAUGUAUUCUUGGGUUAUAAUCUCAGUAGUGUUGGAAACAAUGUGGACGUGGAAAGGCAUCCUUUUUUUAUUUGUAUUAUUUCAAAGUUUUCGAUGAGUGAAGCAUAUCUUUCUAUGGCUUAAAGAAUUGCAAUGCAGUGUGGUGGUAUAUACUUUUUUGGACAUAUCUCUUAUUAAUUUGUGUUGUGUUUUUGGAGAUGAGGAAAAGUGCCUAAAUAUAUUAAGUCUUUUAAAGUAAUAAUAUACUGAACACUACUUUAAAGUCAGAAGCUGCUAAUAGUGACAGAACAUGGAUGUAGUAAAACCACUGAACUAUGGGUCAACACUAGCAUUUUAACGAGGAUAAAGAGUUGUACUUUUACUGUUUCAACAGUAUCUAUUUACUCCACAAUAUAGAUUGAUGUUCAUCUCAGAGAAGAUAAACUGAAUCCUUUUUGGAUAAAAUAAAAACUGAAGCACAGGUAGUUUUGAGCAUGAAGAAACUCUUUACUCUCAGAGUGAUUGAACGCUGGUACAAGUUGUCCAGAGAGCCUGUGGAGUCUCCAUCUUUGGAGACAUUCAGAAGCCAUCUGGAUAUGGUCCUGAGCAAUUGUUUCUAGGUGACUGUGCUUGAACCAGGGGGAUUGGAC